CUACGGGGCGCUCCAGUGAGGAAUAUUGCACAAUGGGGGGAACCCUGAUGCAGCAACGCCGCGGGGAGGAUGACGCAUUUCGGUGUGUAAACUCCUUUUAUAUGUCAAGAAAAUGACGGUAGCAUAUGAAUAAGCACCGGCUAACUCCGUGCCAGCAGCCGCGGUAAUACGGAGGGUGCAAGCGUUACUCGGAAUCACUGGGCGUAAAGGACGCGUAGGCGGGUUGGAAAGUCAGGUGUGAAAUCCUACAGCUUAACUGUAGAACUGCACUUGAAACUUCUAAUCUAGAGUAUGGGAGGGGGAGAUGGAAUUAGUGGUGUAGGGGUAAAAUCCGUAGAUAUCACUAGGAAUACCUAAAGCGAAGGCGAUCUCCUGGAACAUUACUGACGCUAAGGCGUUAAAGCGUGGGGAGCAAACAGGAUUAGAUACCCCCGUAGUC
rnacentral:rRNA from 1 species